rnacentral:pre_miRNA from 1 species
AAUAGAUGAUGCAUUUGACUUUUUCUCACAUGAUUGACUAUUCGUCUUAUUUAAAAAAUUUACGUAAUUAUAAUUUAUUUUGUUAUGAGUUGUUUUAUCACUUGUAGUACUUUAAGUGUAAUUUAUAUCUUAUACAUUUGCAUAAAAUUUUUGAAUAAGACGAAUGGUCAAACAUGUGAAAAAAAAAAUCAACGGCGUCAUCUAUU